rnacentral:rRNA from 1 species
AGAGUUUGAUCCUGGCUCAGGACGAACGCUGGCGGCGUGCUUAACACAUGCAAGUCGAACGGAGAUUGCAGACGGAAGGUUUCGGCCGGAAGGCUGUAAUUUCAGUGGCGGACGGGUGAGUAACGCGUGAGCAACCUGCCUUUUACAGGGGGAUAACGCGCCGAAAGGCGCACUAAUACCGCAUAAGACCACACGGGGACAUCCCCGAGGGGUCAAAGGAGCAAUCCGGUAAGAGAUGGGCUCGCGUCUGAUUAGAUAGUUGGUGAGGUAACGGCCCGCCAAGUCAACGAUCAGUAGCCGACCUGAGAGGGUGAUCGGCCACAUUGGAACUGAGAGACGGUCCAAACUCCUACGGGAGGCAGCAGUGGGGAAUAUUGGGCAAUGGGCGAAAGCCUGAACCAGCCAAGUAGCGUGCAGGAUGACGGCCCUAUGGGUUGUAAACUGCUUUUAUAGGGGAAUAAAGUUAUCCACGUGUGGAUAUUUGUAUGUACCCUAUGAAUAAGGACCGGCUAAUUCCGUGCCAGCAGCCGCGGUAAUACGGAAGGUCCGGGCGUUAUCCGGAUUUAUUGGGUUUAAAGGGUGCGUAGGCGGCUUGGUAAGUCAGCGGUGAAACGCAGGGGCUCAACCCCUGACCUGCCGUUGAAACUGCCGGGCUUGAAUGCGGAUGCUGUGGGAGGAAUGUGUGGUGUAGCGGUGAAAUGCAUAGAUAUCACACAGAACACCGAUUGCGAAGGCAUCUCACAAAUCCGCGAUUGACGCUGAGGCACGAAAGUGCGGGGAUCGAACAGGAUAAGAUACCCUGGUAGUCCACGCCCUAAACGAUGAUUAUUAGGUGUGGGGGGACUGACCCCUUCCGUGCCGAAGUUAACACAUUAAGUAAUCCCCUUGGGGAGUACGACCGCAAGGUCGAAACCCAAAGGAAUUGACGGGGGCCCGCACAAGCGGUGGAGCAUGUGGUUUAAUUAGAUGAUACGCGAGGAACCUUACCCGGGCUAGAACAGUGGGGGAACGGAGCGGAGACGCCGAGGUCCUACGGGACCCCCCACCGAGGUGCUGCAUGGUUGUCGUCAGCUCGUGCCGUGAGGUGUCGGGUCAAGUCCCAUAACGAGCGCAACCCCUUCCCGCAGUUGCCACCGGUCAGGCCGGGCACUCUGCGGGGACUGCCCGCGCAAGCGGAGAGGAAGGCGGGGAUGACGUCAAAUCAGCACGGCCCUUACGUCCGGGGCGACACACGUGCUACAAUGGCCGGCACAGAGGGCAGCCACGCGGCGACGCGGAGCGAAUCCCGAAAGCCGGUCUCAGUUCAGAUCGGGGUCUGCAACCCGACCCCGUGAAGUCGGAUUUGCUAGUAACGGCGUAUCAGCUACGACGCCGUGAAUGCGUUCCCGGGCCUUGUACUCACCGCCCGUCAAG